rnacentral:rRNA from 1 species
UACGGAAGGCAGCAGUGGGGAAUAUUGCACAAUGGGCGAAAGCCUGAUGCAGCUAUGCCGCGUGUAUGAAGAAGGCCUUAGGGUUGUAAAGUACUUUCAUCGGGGAGGAAAAACAAAACUAAUAAUUUUAUUUCUUGACGUUACCCGAAAAAGAAGCACCGGCUAACUCCGUGCCAGCAGCCGCGGUAAUACGGAGGGUGCUAGCGUUAAUCAGAAUUACUGGGCGUAAAGAGCACGUAGGUGGUUUUUUUAAGUCAGAUGUGAAAUCCCUGGGCUUAACCUGGAACUGCAUUUUGAAACUGAAAUACUAGAGUAUCGUAGAGGGAGGUAGAAUUCUAGGUGUAGCGGUGAAAUGCGUAGAUAUCUGGAGGAAUACCUGUGGCGAAAGCGGCCUCUAAACGAAUACUGACACUGAGUGCGAAAGCGUGGGGAGCAAACGAGGGAUUAGGAU